UACGGGGGGAGCAAGCGUUGUUCGGAUUUACUGGGCGUAAAGGGCGCGUAGGUGGUCGUGACAAGUCACUUGUGAAAUCUCCGGGCUUAACCCGGAAAAUGCAUUGAAUACUAUUCUGCUUGGAGGUUUGGAGGGGGGACUGGAAUUCCUGGUGUAGGCGGUGAAAUGCGCAGAUAUCAGGAGGAACACCGGUGGCGAAGGCGGGACUCUGGGCCGAUACUGACGCUGAGGAGCGAAAGCGUGGGGAGCAAACAGG
rnacentral:rRNA from 1 species